rnacentral:rRNA from 1 species
AACGAACGCUGGCGGCAGGCCUAACACAUGCCAGUCGAGCGACCUUUCGGGGGAGUGGCGGCUGGGUCGGUAACGCGUGGGGAUAUGCCCUUCUCUACGGAAUAGCCUCGGGAAACUGAGAGUAAUACCGUAUACGCCCUGUGGGGGCAAGAUUUAUCGUGGACGGAUUAGCUCGCGUUGGAUUAGCUAGUUGGUAGGGUAAUGGCUUUACAAGCCAACGAUGCGUAGCUGAUCUGAGAGGAUGAUCAGCCACACUGGGCCUGAGACACGGCCCCGACUCCUACGAGAGGCAGCAGUAGGGAAUCUGCCGCAAUGGGCGAAAGCCUGACGGAGCAACGGCGCGUGAGUGAUGAAGGUCUUCGGAUCGUAAAACUCGGUUAUGAGGGAAGAACAAAUGUGUAAGUAACUAUGCACGUCUUGACGGUACCUAAUCAGAAAGCCACGGCUAACUACGUG